rnacentral:tRNA from 1 species
CAGGGAGACAACACAAUGAUUUUGAUGCCUGAGUGCUUUUAUUCUUAGGCCGAAAUCCUGUCACCUUAGGUCGAUCGGUACCUCAGCUUUGAAGUUAAGGAUCAGCAGCAAUGUUGAUUGCUUGAUGGAGAUUUUCAGUUCCUAAACUUUGUCUAGGUCACACCCCAAAAGGGAUGAGACUCCUGGGCCAUUAGCUCAGGUGGUUAGAGCGCACCCCUGAUAAGGGUGAGGUCCCUGGUUCAAGUCCAGGAUGGCCCAUUCGGUGUUGGGGGUUUAGCUCAGUUGGUAGAGCGCCUGCUUUGCAAGCAGGAUGUCAGGAGUUCGAGUCUCCUAACCUCCACUGACCGAACUUGAUUCCCAUCUCCAAUUUUUUGGAGUUGAGCUCGAUUGGAGUGUGAUUUAGAUGUGUCCGCUGGAUGACCCCAGCUUCCUGUCAUUCCAAGUUUUAGGUUGAAGCCUUGAAUUUGGUUGAUAAGAUGCUGGGCUCGGAUCAAAUGAUCAAUCAAUUGAUGAUUUGAUUUGAAGUUCUAGCAGAACCUUGACAACUGCAUAGGUGAGUCUGGAAAAAACAAAGCAUCUUACAGAUGCAUUGUUUUGAAUCUGAUCUUCUGAAAGGGAGAUUGGAUCUAGAACAAUGAAAAUUCUUUUGAGCAAGAGCCGAGACUCUUGAGCGUUCUUUGAUUGGUGUCGAGCCAAUCAGAGUUUGAUCUUGUUUUUAGCAAUAAAAACUUGAGAAUCUGCUUUCAGCGGUGGUAAGCGUUCAGGAGGUUAAUU